rnacentral:rRNA from 1 species
CCAACAGGGAUUACCCUAGUAACGGCGAGUGAAGCGGUAACAGCUCAAAUUUGAAAUCGGGCCCUUCUGGGGUUCGAGUUGUAAUUUGUAGAGGAUGCUUCGGGUGCGGCGCUGGUCUAAGUUCCUUGGAACAGGACGUCAUAGAGGGUGAGAAUCCCGUAUGUGACCGGGUGCCCAGCUCAUGUGAAGCUCCUUCGACGAGUCGAGUUGUUUGGGAAUGCAGCUCUAAAUGGGUGGUAAAUUUCAUCUAAAGCUAAAUACCGGCCAGAGACCGAUAGCGCACAAGUAGAGUGAUCGAAAGAUGAAAAGCACUUUGGAAAGAGAGUUAAAAAGCACGUGAAAUUGUUGAAAGGGAAGCGCUUGCCGCCAGACUUGCCUGCAGUGGAUCAGCCAGUGUUCUCACCGGUGCACGCCUCUGCAGUCAGGCCAGCACCAGUUCAAGCGGCUGGAUAAAGGCUCCAAGAAUGUAGCUCCUCUCGGGGAGUGUUAUAACUUGGAGUGCAAUGCAGCCAGCCUGGACUGAGGACCGCGCUUCGGCUAGGAUGCUGGCGUAAUGGUUGCAAUCGACCCGUCUUGAAACACGGACCAAGGAGUCUAACAUCUAUGCAAGUGUUUGGGUGUCAAACCCAUGCGCGUAAUGAAAGUGAACGGAGGUGGGAACCCUCAAGGGUGCACCAUCGACCGAUCCUGAUGUCUUCGGAUGGAUUUGAGUAAGAGCAUAACUGUUGGGACCCGAAAGAAGGUGAACUAUGCCUGAAUAGGGUGAAGCCAGAGGAAACUCUGGUGGAGGCUCGCAGCGGUUCUGACGUGCAAAUCGAUCGUCAAAUUUGGGCAUAGGGGCGAAAGACUAAUCGAACUUUCUAGUAGCUGGUUCCUGCCGAAGUUUCCCUCAGGAUAGCAGUAAUGAAUUCAGUUUUAUGAGGUAAAGCGAAUGAUUAGAGGCCUUGGGGUUGAAACAACCUUAACCUAUUCUCAAACUUUAAAUAUGUAAGAAGUCCUUGUUACUUAGUUGAACGUGGACAUUUGAAUGUACCAUUACUAGUGGGCCAUUUUUGGUAAGCAGAACUGGCGAUGCGGGAUGAACCGAACGUGAGGUUAAGGUGCCGGAAUUCACGCUCAUCAGACACCACAAAAGGUGUUAGUUCAUCUAGACAGCCGGACGGUGGCCAUGGAAGUCGGAAUCCGCUAAGGAGUGUGUAACAACCCACCGGCCGAAUGAACUAGCCCUGAAAAUGGAUGGCGCUCAAGCGUGAUACCUAUACCUCGCCGCCAGGGUAGAAACGAUGCCCUGGCGAGUAGGCAGGCGUGGAGG